GGAGGAACGUAUAGUUACACAACGUAAAGUUCAAAUACNAGAAUGAUAAUGACAAUCUUAUAUUACAGUCUUGGCAAAUUCCCGUGCCAGCAGUCGCGGCAAUACGGGUAAGGCAAGUGUUAUUCAUAUUCAAAAGGUUUAAAGGGUACCUAGACAGUAUAAUUACCUUGUAUUACAAGUACAUAUAUUACUAGAGUUUUAUGGAAGAGGUUCUCUUAGUACCAAUGGAGUAAAGAUUGAAUUUUUAGAUACUAUCGGGCACUGGUAACGGCGAAGGCAUACCUCUAUGUAAAAACUGACGUUAAGGUACGAAGGCUUGGGGAACGAUCAGGAUUAGAUACCCUAGUAGUCCAAGCAGUAAAAAAUGAGUGCCACAGGUAAAAAUAAUUUUAUUUAUAAAUGAAAGUGUAAGCAUUCCACCUCAAGAGUAACGUGGCAACACCGAAACUGAAAUCAUUAGACCGUUUCUGAGAUAAGUAGUGAAGUAUGUUGUUUAAUUCGAUGAUCCGCGAAAAAUCUUACCACUGCUUGAAUAUUAUGAUAAUUAUACAAAAUUAUAAUUAAUUGUUUGUAAUACAGGUGCUGCACGGCUGUCUUUAGUUUAUGUUGUGAAAUUAAGGUUAGGUCCGAAAUAUUUACAAAAACCCUUGCUUUUUUUUUUUAGUAGAUCACUAGUACAAGAGUAUGAUAAUAGGGAAUAAGGCAAGCACUCGUG
rnacentral:rRNA from 1 species